AUUGAACGCUGGCGGCAUGCUUUACACAUGCAAGUCGAACGGUAACAGGCCGCAAGGUGCUGACGAGUGGCGAACGGGGGCGUAAUGCAUCGGAACGUGCCCAGUCGUGGGGGAUAACUACUCGAAAGAGUAGCUAAUACCUCAUACGAUCUAUGGAUGAAAGCGGGGGACCGUAAGACCUCGCGCGAUUUGAGCGGCCGCUGUCAGAUUAGUUAGUUGGUGGGGUAAAGGCUUACCAAGCCAACGAUCUGUAGCUGAUCUGAGAGGACGAGCAGCCACACUGGGACUGAGACACGGCCCAGACUCCUACGGGAGGCAGCAGUGGGGAAUCUUGGGCAAUGGGCGAAAGCCUGAUCCAGCAAUGCCGCGUGAAGGAUGAAGGUCUUCGGAUUGUAAACUGCUGUUGUAAGGAAAGAAAAGGCGCUGGUUAAUCCCCGGGGCUAAUGACGGUACCGAAAGAAUAAGCACCGGCUAACUACGUG
rnacentral:rRNA from 1 species